rnacentral:misc_RNA from 1 species
AACCUAGCACACCUGCGGUGUGUACCUGCGGAAGGAUCAUUACCGAGUUUACAAACUCCCAACCCUAUGUGAACCUUACCAAUCGUUGCUUCGGCGGGCUUAGCCCCCGCGCCCUCGCCGGCGCCGGGAGAAAGGCGCCCGCCGGGGACCCCAAACCCAAUGUUUUUCAUGCAGUAUUUCUGAGUGGCAAACGCAAAAAUAAAUCAAAACUUUUAGCAACGGAUCUCAGAUCGGAAGAGC